rnacentral:lncRNA from 1 species
UUGGAGAGAAAGGAGAGGGGAGGGUAGAGACACAACGAUGCCUUCUCCUCCGGAAGAAGAAACUCAACCCAAAACCGAUUCGGGUUCGGAUCAAACCUCUGAACGCGACACCAAUCCACCACCACCGCCUUCGCCGCAAUCUCAACCGCCUCCAUCGCAAACGCUACAGCAAUCUUACCCACCUGUUAUGGGCUUUCCAGGUUACCCUCAAGCCCCAUACCCAAACUACCCAAACCCACCUUACAAUCACAACCAAUACGCCUACGCACAAGCCCCACCCGCUUCAUAUUACGGUUCUUCUUACCCACCUCAGCAAAACCCGGUUUACCAAACACCCCCUCCGUCCGGUUUCUUCAGAGGAAUCCUCACCGGUUUAGUCGUUAUAGCCG